GACCAUGUAGCUCAGUGGUAGAGCGCGCGAUUGCAAAUCGCGUUGCCGCGUGUUCGAUCCACGCCUUGGUCU